rnacentral:rRNA from 1 species
CUAAGACAUGCUAGUCGUGCGCUUCUAAGCCAUGGUGGAGGCGCGGCGCACAGCUCAGUAACACGUGGUUAACCUGCCCUUGGGACGGAAACACCCCCGGGAAACUGGGGCUAAUUUCCGAUAGGUGAAGACUCCUGGAAUGGAUCUUCGCCUAAAGGGCGCUUAGGCCAUGCUUCUAGGCGCUGUCCAAGGAUGGGACCGCGGCCGAUCAGGUUGUUGGUGAGGUAAUGGCUCACCAAGCCUUUAACCGGUUCGGGCCGUGGGAGCGGGAGCCCGGAGAUGGGCACUGAGACAAGGGCCCAGGUCCUACGGGGCGCAGCAGUCGCGAAAACUCCGCAAUACGCGAAGGCGUGACGGGGCUAUCCCGAGUGCCGUCCGCUGAGGAUGGCUUUUCCCCAGUGUAGAUAGCUGGGGGAAUAAGGAGAGGGCAAGUCUGGUGUCAGCCGCCGCGGUAAUACCAGCUCUCCGAGUGGUGGGGACGUUUAUUGGGCCUGAAGCAUCCGUAGCCAGCUGAGCAAGUCCCCAGUUAAAUCCAGCGAUUUAAUCGUUGGACUGCUGGGGA